UCUGAGAGUAUAUUGUUUAUCUAGAGUUUAUACUUGGUACUUUGGAGUUAGCCCCAGUGCAUAGGUUAGUUCACAUUUAUUCUUUGAGGCUUCCAAGGCACACCAGCAAGUGUGUACAGGGAGCAGCCAAAUGGAGGUACUGCCAAGAUUAAUUUCCUUAUAAGUGAAAGGACUGCAGCAGAGGGGUGGACAGAGGAUUCCUGUCUAUUCAACAUCACCACUGGGAUACUCAAGAUCUCCUUUACUGUUGACAAUAUCAGGAAUCCAGGAACACAGCAUUGCACCAGAGACCUGGACUAUCAAGCAGGCUUGUGAUCUCAUCUUCUGCAGAAGCAUCAUGUAUUGGCCCACUAAAGAGGAAGGACACCAAAGAUCACAAGUCAGAUGAGGGAAGAGAAUAAAUGCAGAAUCACAGCCACAACGACUGACAUCCUCCUCCUCAUCAGGAAUUUGGGCACCUCCAGAGGGACUAAAUGUUUAGAUGGUACAAAUCUUGUUGUAAGUACUGUUCAGAAGAGCUGUGUCAGGAAAUGGAUUUUCCAUCUCAAACAGUUUGAAAAAUAGUGUACCUCCCAUGGAAAUGAAAAGCUAAAACUUUAAAUUUUCAUGAAAUGAAAUGCUGAAAAAAAUUGUU